CUUCGAUGCACAACUGUGGGCAGAUAAAGUGAACAUGAGCAUCAAUUCCUCCGGCAGUCAGAAUUAGUCCCUCUCCAGCAAUAACUUCGGUAUUAACACCAACAAUCAUGUUGGCUCCGACACCAUCCAUUACAUCAGGAUUUCCUCCUUUACCAAUGCCAACAAUGUACCCAUCUUUCAUUCCAACGUCAGCUUUGUAGAUUCCAGUAUAAUCCACAAUAAGGGCAUUCGUGAUGAUCGUUUCCAGAGCCGUAUCGGAACCACUACCGGUGUUUUGGCCCAUUCCUUCCCGAAG
rnacentral:sRNA from 1 species